rnacentral:misc_RNA from 1 species
AAGUCGUAACAAGGUUUCCGUAGGUGAACCUGCAACGUUAAACCCCCCGUGAACCUUCAGUGCGCUCGCACUUUCUUAGAAAAGGUAGCAAUCCCUGGUAAAUCAUUGCCGAACAGUUUUGAUUCAGGGACUUCUGCGUAGACUGUGCUUGAGCGUGAGGCAAGUGGCCUGGCAUUCCUCUGCUUGUUGGUGUCUGAAAGUGUCACCAGCUCUGUACGAAUGGCGCAGUCACGAUCGCUAGAGGCCGACACGGCCGGCGACCGGGUCACUGGGCGCGAGCCCCCCUCGUCACCUUUGCAUGAAAACGGGCCUGCGCUUAAUUGUGCGGCCACCAAACUCGAACAACUGUUAACAAUGGAUAUCUUGGUUCUC